GACAGAGGUUGCAAACGUUGUUCGGAAUUACUGGGCAUAAAGCGCACGUAGGUGGCUCAUUUAGUCGUGUGUGAAAUGCCCCGGCUCAACCGGGGAAUUGCGCACGAUACUGGUGGGCUUGAGGUCGGGAGGGGUGAGUGGAACUCCUGGUGGAGCGGUGAAAUGCGUAGAUAUCAGGAGGAACACCGGUGGCGAAAGCGACUCACUGGCCCGAAUCUGACACUGAGGUGCGAAAGCUAGGGUAGCAAACGGG
rnacentral:rRNA from 1 species